rnacentral:rRNA from 1 species
CAGUGGGGAAUAUUGCGCAAUGGGGGGAACCCUGACGCAGCAACGCCGCGUGAGUGAAGAAGGUCUUCGGAUCGUAAAACUCUGUCAUAGGGGAAGAAGGAGAUGACGGUACCCUAUGAGAAAGCCCCGGCUAACUACGUGCCAGCAGCCGCGGUAAUACGUAGGGGGCGAGCGUUGUCCGGAAUUACUGGGCGUAAAGGGUGCGUAGGCGGCCCUUUAAGUCGGAUGUGAAAGCCCGCGGCUCAACUGCGGGAUUGCAUUUGAAACUGGUUUGCUAGAGUGCAGGAGAGGUAAGUGGAAUUCCUAGUGUAGCGGUGAAAUGCGUAGAUAUUAGGAGGAACACCAGUGGCGAAGGCGGCUUACUGGACUGUAACUGACACUGAGGCUCGAAAGCGUGGGGAGCAAACA